AAGUCGUAACAAGGUUUCCGUAGGUGAACCUGCGGAAGGAUCAUUAAUGAAUGAAAUUGAGUGGGGUUGUAGCUGGCCUUUCACGGGGCAUGUGCACACCUCAUUCGACCACCUUCUACACCUCUGUGCACUUCUCAUGGGUUGGGUUCCGUCUGAAACACGACGAAGCCCGGCCUGUGUGUUACCAUACAAACAACUUGUCAAAGAAUGUCACUAUCAUGCUCUAAGCAUAUAAUACAACUUUCAACAACGGAUCUCUUGGCUCUC
rnacentral:misc_RNA from 1 species